CGUGGUGUGCCCGAGAGGCGAGGGAGCGGUCUGCAAAUCCGCUUACGCGGGUUCGAAUCCCGCCACCACGU
rnacentral:tRNA from 1 species